rnacentral:rRNA from 1 species
UACAGAGGGGGCAAGCGUUAUUCGGAAUUAUUGGGCGUAAGGGCGCGUAGGCGGCUUUGCAAGUGACGGGUGAAAUCCCUCGGCUUAACCGAGGAACUGCCUGUCAGACUGUAAGGCUUGAGACCGGGAGAGGUGAGUGGAAUUCCCAGUGUAGCGGUGAAAUGCGUAGAUAUUGGGAGGAACACCAGUGGCGAAGGCGGCUCACUGGACCGGUACUGACGCUGAGGCGCGAAAGCGUGGGGAGCAAACAG